CGCGGGGUGGAGCAGUCUGGUAGCUCGUUGGGCUCAUAACCCAAAGGUCGUAGGUUCAAAUCCUGCCCCCGCAA
rfam:Oceanobacillus picturae, S1, WGS project CCAX01000000 data, contig: 000002